rnacentral:lncRNA from 1 species
AUGACAUCUCUGGUUCGAAAUGCCUCAGUUGCUGCUGGGCCAUCUCUCUGUCUGCUGAGUAUAAUCUCUGGUGUUUAUUUAACCACCCUUGCCCUUCUGGGUGAGAGCCACCAUCCUUGGACUGAUGGCUGUGAGUUCUCCCCUCCUCUCAAGAGACAAAUAGGCAUAUUUGUGGGUACCUGUAUGUGGUUCAGACAGAAGUUCCAGAAAAUGUUCCUUUCUCCCUUCUGGCAACCUCCCUACCUUGCUCCCCCUUCUUUAUCCUUCCUUUAUGCCAUGUACAGCAUAUGGCACGUGCUUUGGGAGAUAUGCAAGGCCAGGCAUGGGCUUUGGAUGCUUUUAUUGUGCAAUGACACCUCCUGAAACACAACACAUGUGCAUUUUUAUGGCCAAUUUGGACAAAGUCAUCCCUCCAGAUGGUAACUGCAACUUCUAGAUAAGACCUGACAUGUGACAACCUAAGCAACACCAAAUUGAGGAGGGAAGGAAGGAAUUGUUCAUUUUCAGAUGCCAGCGUGGCUACAUAUACUGACACUGUUGCACAAACACAAACAAUUUUAUCUGGAACAGUUGCCUCUUGGUAGUUGUUCCAUUACCUGUAAUUGAUUAUGCCAGAGCUUGCAGCC